GGAUUAGAUACCCUGGUAGUCCACGCCGUAAACGAUGUCAACUAGCCGUUGGGCUCUUUAAGGGCUUAGUGGCGCAGCUAACGCGAUAAGUUGACCGCCUGGGGAGUACGCCGGCAACGGUAAAACUCAAAGGAAUUGACGGGGGCCCGCACAAGCGGUGGAGCAUGUGGUUUAAUUCGAUGCAACGCGAAGAACCUUACCAUCCCUUGACAUCCUCGGAACUUGUCAGAAAUGACUUGGUGCCCUCGGGAACCGAGUGACAGGUGCUGCAUGGCUGUCGUCAGCUCGUGCCG
rnacentral:rRNA from 1 species